GGGAUAUGGYGAAAUCGGUAGACGCUACGGACUUGCGACUUUAUAAGUCGUGAGGGUUCAAGUCCCUCUAUCCCCA
rnacentral:tRNA from 1 species